AUUGAACGCUGGCGGCAGGCUUAACACAUGCAAGUCGAGCGGGGGAGGUUGCUUCGGUAACUGACCUAGCGGCGGACGGGUGAGUAAUACUUAGGAAUCUGCCUAUUAAUGGGGGACAACAUCUCGAAAGGGAUGCUAAUACCGCAUACGCCCUACGGGGGAAAGCAGGGGAUCACUUGUGACCUUGCGUUAAUAGAUGAGCCUAAGUCGGAUUAGCUAGUUGGUGGGGUAAAGGCCUACCAAGGCGACGAUCUGUAGCGGGUCUGAGAGGAUGAUCCGCCACACUGGGACUGAGACACGGCCCAGACUCCUACGGGAGGCAGCAGUGGGGAAUAUUGGACAAUGGGGGGAACCCUGAUCCACCCAUGCCGCGUGUGUGAAGAAGGCCUUAUGGUUGUAAAGCACUUUAAGCGAGGAGGAGGCUCUCUUGGUUAAUACCCAAGAUGAGUGGACGUUACUCGCAGAAUAAGCACCGGCUAACUCUGUGCCAGCAGCCGCGGUAAUACAGAGGGUGCGAGCGUUAAUCGGAUUUACUGGGCGUAAAGCGUGCGUAGGCGGCUUUUUAAGUCGGAUGUGAAAUCCCCGAGCUUAACUUGGGAAUUGCAUUCGAUACUGGGAAGCUAGAGUAUGGGAGAGGAUGGUAGAAUUCCAGGUGUAGCGGUGAAAUGCGUAGAGAUCUGGAGGAAUACCGAUGGCGAAGGCAGCCAUCUGGCCUAAUACUGACGCUGAGGUACGAAAGCAUGGGGAGCAAACA
rnacentral:rRNA from 1 species